GGGAAUGUGGCUUAGUGGUAGAGCACUUGCCUAGCAUGCAUGAAUCCCUGGGUUUCAUUCCUC
rnacentral:tRNA from 1 species